GUCGAGAGGCUUCGGCAAUGGGGGAAACCCUGACCGAGCGACGCCGCGUGGAGGAUGAAGGCCCUUGGGUUGUAAACUCCUUUUGUUCGGGAAGAAAUGCGAUCAGGUGAACAAUCUGGUCGUUUGACGGUACCGGACGAAUAAGCUCCGGCUAACUCCGUGCCAGCAGCCGCGGUAACACGGGGGGAGCAAGCGUUGUUCGGAAUCACUGGGCGUAAAGGGCGUGUAGGCGGUCAGGUAAGUGGGAUGUGAAAUGCCCCGGCUCACCCGGGGAUCUGCAUCCCAUACUGCUUGGCUUGAGUACGGGAGAGGAUGAGGGAAUUCCUGGUGUAGCGGUGAAAUGCGUAGAUAUCAGGAGGAACACCGGUGGCGAAGGCGCUCAUCUGGCCCGAUACUGACGCUGAGGCGCGAAAGCUAGGGGAGCAAACGGGAUUAGAAACCCGAGUAGUCC
rnacentral:rRNA from 1 species